ACCUGAGGCGUGCGCCCAAGAGCUGCCAGCCCUGCCAAGGUGCUGCUGCAGCCGCCGCCGCCGCCUCCCCCUCCGCCUGCUGAUUGGCGGGGACCGCAGCUUCGGAAGCAUCGCCCAGCGAGGGAGGGCGCCGACACUCCAGCGCUCCAGCCUUGGGGAUCCUCAACUCCCCUGGGCGAGACUUCCCCUGCGAGCAGCCUCUUCUCCGCCCGCCACCACCAGGACCCUCCUCCUGAGCAAAUCAGAGGUCCGGGCCGCCGGGACAGCCACGUCUCCCUCUGGGCCUGGUCGGGGAGGCAGGGGCCAGAACCCUAGGGUCCCGCGGCAACAACCCGGCCCCCGACACUGGCUCCGGAACCACUGCGGUCGCCGCGUCCCAGCCGCCAAAACGCCUCGUAUCUUGUACCGCGGGAAAAGCGGGUCCUCGUCCAAGAUGGGCCGACAGGGUCUGGGGGGCGCUGGCGCGGCGGAGCGCUCUAUGCAGCGCUCCCAAAGCCGGAGCAGCCUCUCCGCCUCCUUCGAGGCACUGGCCGGCUACUUUCCCUGCAUGAA
rnacentral:lncRNA from 1 species